GACAACCUGCCGGCUCGCUGGCGCGUGUUCGUCAUUAUUACAAGGAGCGUAAGCCGUUUCAUUUUUAGUUUCUACUUUCCGUUUUUUUUAUUCUUAUCAGCUCCAAACAUUUUAUUUGUUAAAUAGUUUUAUUUUUUGCAUUACCUUAGUUUCUUGUUGCUACUCACUUCUUAUCUUCGUACUAUAUUAUUAACUUUUUUUUUUUAAACCAUGUCUGGUACGUCGGACGACGAGGGUAGAGAUAUGGAGAUUGAAUUAGCGCAACUUGAAGCAAAACGUAGUUCAAUAAAAGGACAAACUACAAAAAUUGAAAAGUUUUUGAAGUCUUUCGAUGAUAGUGAGGCAGUUGAUGCUGUCGAGUUUAAUAAAUUAACUCUAAAACUACAUAAGUGUAUGGAGCUGAUACAGAAAUUUGAGACGCUGCAGAGUCGCAUAGAGGUUCUGAAUAGUGGAAAACUCGAAGAAGAACUCACAACACGAGACACUAUGGAAGAAAAUCUCCAUAAUUGUAUUGCAACCGUUCAAUUUUUACUUGAAAAACAUAAGCUAAAGUCGAGCUCUGGGGCUGAUAAUACAAAUUCUUCCACUACCACUCAUCACUCGCAUUGCCGCGAUACCAUAGUUGGUUUUAACUUGCCUCAAAUUAAAAUAAAUAAAUUUGAUGGAACAUUUUAUAAAUGGCUUGAAUUCCGUGAUACAUAUGAAUCAUUGAUACACGAUAACAUUAGUUUGAAGCCCAUUCACAAGUUCCAUUACCUUUGCUCUUACUUAGAAGGUGAAGCGGCGCGAGUUAUUAGUAACUUGGAAAUAUCAGCGGCGAAUUAUUCCGAAGCUUGGACUCUUUUAUGCGAGAGCUAACAACGGCAGGCAGCUGCGUCCGUGCGUCAUUUGCCAGGGAAAACAUCGUAUCUUCGAUUGCAACGCGUUCAAGGCCCUGACAACUGAAGAGAAAUGGGCACAGGUUCAUAAGUUGAAGCUCUGCCACAACUGCUUGCGUCCAGACCACGAUGCAGCUCAUUGCCGCUUGGGUGGCUGUCGCGCUUGUCCCUGAUGUCGCUACCGUCUCCAGAGCUAAUUGACAUCAAUCCAAGAAGACUAAACAGAUAUGAAGUAUUGGAACAAAUGAGACAACACUUCUGGAAAAGAUGGCAGUCAGAAUAUGUUACUGAACUCCAGCAUCGUUGCAAAUGGAAAACCCGGUGCAGAGAUUUAAAAGAAGGAGAGCUAGUGAUAAUUAAAGAUGACAAUGUGCCUCCACUAUUAUGGCGACUUGGAAGAGUUCAAAAACUUUACCCAGGCGCAGACGGAGUGCCGCGAGUUGCUGAUAUAAAGACAUCAAGAGGAGUCAUCAGACGCGCACUCAAUCGUAUAUCCCUUCUUCUAGACGACAUUGCUUGAAAGCAGCGCUUUCAAGGGCCCCCAGUAUGUUCGCGCGCGUAAUAAGGAAUGCGCGAGCGGCGACGGCGGCGGCUGAGGCGCGGGAGGCAGGCUCCGCGCAGGCGACGGCGGCGCGGCGGCUGAGGCGCGGGCGCCGGGGCGACCGCCGCCACACACACUACCUUGCUACCUUAACCGAACGGACGCGUUGCGAGCAAUCUCGCUGUUUUGUCGGGAAUUUGUAUUUAAUUUCAUAAUCACGAACAUUAUAAGUAAUAAUCACCA